UUGUGGAUUUGCUGUGAAGUGGUGAGCAUCCAUCUUUCAGAAGGCCCGAUCAUUCACUAGUUUCAUUACUAUUCUAGUACUUAGGAUUUCCUUUUUGGUCAUAGUCGGGGGCAUGUCCCGACUCAGUUGGUAUUCUGAAUUUAGAGGCUUUUGUGAACAAGUGUGGGUUGGAUUCUUGGUUUUGACUCUUUAAUCUUUCAUUUGAAUUAUUUAUCUUUAUUUCUAUCUUGAUUGGCUU
rnacentral:lncRNA from 1 species